CACGCCGUAAACGAUGGAUACUAGGUGUGGGAGGUAUCGACCCCUUCCGUGCCGCAGCUAACGCAAUAAGUAUCCCGCCUGGGGAGUACGAUCGCAAGGUUGAAACUCAAAGGAAUUGACGGGGGCCCGCACAAGCGGUGGAGCAUGUGGUUUAAUUCGAUGCAACGCGAAGAACCUUACCAGGUCUUGACAUCCGUGGAACCUUACUGAAAGGUAGGGGUGCCUUCGGGAGCCACGAGACAGGUGG
rnacentral:rRNA from 1 species